UGAACACAUAAGAAAAUUUAAACGACGAUGAUGGUGACUUUUUUAGAAAAAAAUUAGAAGAUUUACAAAAGUCCAUAGGUGAGUAAAAUUGCUUUUAUGUUUAUUAUACACCCUAAUUAUUUAUGUACAUCUAAUAUUAAAUGCGUUUUUUCAA